ACUCUAGUAUUGAGCUUAAUCCACAUAUAUUGAGGUGGAUUGAGGUGUAACUUAAACUAAUUUACACCCUAAUCCACCUCAACACAUGUGGAUUGUGAUCAAUACUAGA
rfam:Zea mays cultivar B73 chromosome 7, whole genome shotgun sequence.